rnacentral:rRNA from 1 species
AAGCGUCCGUAGCUGGCCCUGCAAGUCCGUCGGGAAAUCCACUCGCCUAACGAGUGGGCGUCCGGCGGAAACUACAGGGCUUGGGACCGGAAGACUUGAGGGGUACGUCUGGGGUAGGAGUGAAAUCCUGUAAUCCUGGACGGACCGCCGAUAGCGAAAGCACCUCAAGACGACGGAUCCGACAGUGAGGGACGAAAGCUAGGGUCUCGAAC